UUGCGUAGGCGGUUAUGUAAGCGAGUGAUGAAAACUAUCGGCUCAACCGAUAGCCUAUUAUUCGAACUGCAUAACUCGAGAGUAUCAGAGGUCGCUGGAAUUCCUAGUGUAGGAGUGAAAUCCGUAGAUAUUAGGAGGAACACCAAUGGCGUAGGCAGGCGACUGGGAUAUUUCUUGACGCUAAGGCACGAAAGCGUGGGGAGCGAACC
rnacentral:rRNA from 1 species